rnacentral:misc_RNA from 1 species
UCCAGCUUAUCACUGGCAGUCUUACUAGAGUCCCCGGCUUUACCCGCUGGCAACUAGUAACAAGGGUUGCGCUCGUUACGGGACUUAACCCAACAUCUCACGACACGAGCUGACGACAGCCAUGCAGCACCUGUCUCUUGGUUCCUUUCGGCACACCCCUAUCUCUAAAGGCUCCCAAGCAUGUCAAGGGUAGGUAAGGUUUUUCGCGUUGCAUCGAAUUAAACCACAUGCUCCACCGCUUGUGCAGGCCCCCGUCAAUUCCUUUGAGUUUUAGCCUUGCGGCCGUACUCCCCAGGCGGAGAACUUAUCGCGUUUGCUUCGACACCCAUCGGCUUCUGCCAAUAAAUAUCUAGUCCUCAUCGUUUACAGCGUGGACUAC